AUUGAACGCUGGCGGCAUGCUUUACACAUGCCAGUCGAACGGCAGCGCGGGCUUCGGCCUGGCGGCGAGUGGCGAACGGGUGAGUAAUGCAUCGGAACGUGCCCAGUAGUGGGGGAUAGCCCGGCGAAAGCCGGAUUAAUACCGCAUACGACCUGAGGGUGAAAGCGGGGGACCGAAAGGCCUCGCGCUAUUGGAGCGGCCGAUGUCGGAUUAGCUAGUUGGUGGGGUAAAGGCUUACCAAGGCGACGAUCCGUAGCUGGUCUGAGAGGACGACCAGCCACUCUUGGCUCGAGACCCGGCCCAGUUCCCUAGGGGGGGCCGCAUUGGGAAAUUUUGGGCAAAGGGGGGAACCCGUCCCCGACCGAGCCGGGUGGGGGAAGACGUCUUUCGGGUUUUAACCCGCUUUGUUAUGGGAAAAAAUCCUCUGGGCUAAGCCCCCGGGGGGAUGACGGUACCGAAAGAAUAAACCCCGGCUAACAGGGU
rnacentral:rRNA from 1 species